UUUUUCAUGUUAUUGACAGGCUGGGAAGUGAAUACGAGUUUCGUUUUGAGGUUAGGUUAAACUUCAAAUGUUUAUGUUUUUAUGACGAAGAAGUGUAAUUUUGAUUCGUCUUGAUAAUAAGAUAUAAUAUUCUUUUAACAUUUAAAUCACAUAAUCUGUUCUAAACUAAACUAUUGAAUACUUAUGAUUAGAUUUGUAAGGUUAAGUGUAGUUUUCGUCCAAUUGGGAUUAGUUUCAUUGAAUGGACAAUUUUGUAAGAAGUUAUGCUUAAGAAGUAUAAACAUGGCCCAUAGUGACAUAACUGGUAUUUGUAAGUUAGCUACAAAUUUUAGUGACUGGCAGUUUUCUAAUUUCAAGCUUUUAGAACUCCCCAUUGAUGAAAUCAAAGACAAUUUCCUUAGAAGAAAUAAUGCAGGAUGUUUAUUUUCUAAUGUUAAUCCGACUCCUCUGAAAUUACCAAAUCUAGUUGCAUAUUCAAAGGAUGUACUUACAACAAUUUUAAAUAUGGACCCAAGUAUAACACAAACACAAGAGUUUGCCGAUUUCAUUGCCGGUAAUACAAUCUUAAAUAAUUCAAUUCCAUUAGCUCAUAGAUAUGGUGGUCAUCAGUUUGGAUAUUGGGCCACUCAGUUAGGCGAUGGACGAGCAAUUCUAUUAGGGGAGUUCAUUAACAGUGCUGGUGAAAGAUGGGAGUUGCAGUUGAAAGGUUCCGGUAAAACUCCGUAUUCAAGAGAUGGUGAUGGGAGAGCUGUGUUGAGGUCGUCCAUCAGGGAAUUUCUUUGUUCUGAGGCUAUGUUUUAUUUAGGCAUCCCGACAUCUCGAGCUGCAGCGAUUGUAGUGAGUGACGAACGAGCAUUCCGAGACCCCUUGUACGACGGCAAUCCUGUCAUGGAGAAGACGGCUGUUGUCUUGCGAUUAGCACCCUCUUGGUUUCGCUUUGGUUCAUUUGAGUUACCGGCUAAGACCAACGAACUUGACUUAUUGAAGAAAUUGUUUGAUUUCAUCCUUAAGGAACACUUCCCCGAUAUCGACCCAACAUCAGACGACAGAGUGCUGACGUUCUUGAGCCGAGUGAGUAGGUUAACGUCAGACCUUGUGGUGGCGUGGCAAGGUGUCGGCUUCACCCAUGGAGUCCUCAAUACAGACAACAUGAGUGUGCUGGGACUGACCAUAGACUACGGACCCUUCGGAUUUGUCGAGGCCUACCAGCCCGAGUAUGUCCCCAACGCUUCAGACCACGAGGCGCGCUAUUGCUACAUCAGACAACCUGACAUAAUCAUGUACAACCUGAUGAAGCUGAGCCAAGCCUUGUCACCACUGCUAACCGAAUCACAGAGAGACCAGGUCGGAGUCCUGUUGUCUGCGGAGGUCAAAUACAUUGAGGACAGUCUCAUGAAGAUGUUCUCUGCUAAGCUUGGACUGCCUAAGUCUGAGCCAGGCCUGGUGGUGUUGUUCAUGACAAUGUUGGAAGAAACAAAGUCCGAUUUUACAAUGACAUUCCGGGACCUCAGUGAGAUCGAGUUGGAACAUGUUAGGACACCGUGUCCCGGCAACUACUGGGCACUUGCUAACCUGGCGCAACACGCAGAGUACCCCCGGUUUAUCUCCUUGUACUCGGACAAACUCAAAGAAGCAGGAGUGUCAGAGGAGGUGCGACAUAGACAGAUGUGUGAACGCAACCCUCGCUAUGUACUACGUAACUGGAUAGCUCAGAAAGCCAUUAUGCAAGCAGAGGAGGGCAAUUACGUUGAGGUUGAGCGAUUGUUGCGGGUUCUAUCAACCCCAUUCACAAAGCAGGAAGAAGCGGAGAAGAUGGGUUUUGCUGGACCUCCCCCUGAUUGGGCAGCUAAGCUGCGUCUGAGUUGUUCCAGCUAACUCGCUAACCUUCUGACAAUAGAUAAUAGACAAUAGCCUUUAUUUGUACAAUCUUCAAGAAUUACAAUAGUCUCAACAUUUUACAAAAUACAUACACCAUGUCCCAAGAACGUUUGAGUGCCUUGGCAACCAUAUCUAUAGAGCGCAGCAGAGCCAGGCACAUCAACUUGGACGACACAAUAACACAGUUUGCUAGCAUGAAGUCACGAAAGAAGAUUAGUUAAGAUAGUAAUAUGC
rnacentral:misc_RNA from 1 species